GACGGGUGAGUAAUGCCUAGGAAAUUGCCCUGAUGUGGGGGAUAACCAUUGGAAACGAUGGCUAAUACCGCAUGAUGCCUACGGGCCAAAGAGGGGGACCUUCGGGCCUCUCGCGUCAGGAUAUGCCUAGGUGGGAUUAGCUAGUUGGUGAGGUAAGGGCUCACCAAGGCGACGAUCCCUAGCUGGUCUGAGAGGAUGAUCAGCCACACUGGAACUGAGACACGGUCCAGACUCCUACGGGAGGCAGCAGUGGGGAAUAUUGCACAAUGGGCGCAAGCCUGAUGCAGCCAUGCCGCGUGUGUGAAGAAGGCCUUCGGGUUGUAAAG
rnacentral:rRNA from 1 species